rnacentral:rRNA from 1 species
UACGGGGGGGGCAAGCGUUGUUCGGAAUUACUGGGCGUAAAGGGCGCGUAGGCGGCCUGCUAAGUCGGACGUGAAAUCCCUCGGCUCAACCGGGGAACUGCGUCCGAUACUGGCGAGGCUUGAAUCCGGGAGAGGGAUGUGGAAUUCCAGGUGUAGCGGUGAAAUGCGUAGAUAUCUGGAGGAAUACCGGUGGCGAAGGCGGCAUCCUGGACCGGCAUUGACGCUGAGGAGCGAAAGCCAGGGGAGCAAACGGG